UACGGAGGAUCCAAGCGUUAUCCGGAUUCAUUGGGUUUAAAGGGUGCGAAGGCGGACUUGUAAGUCAGUGGUGAAAUCCUACAGCUUAACUGUAGAACUGCCAUUGAUACUGCAAGCCUUGAGUAUACUUGAAGUGGCUGGAAUGUAUCAUGUAGCGGUGAAAUGCUUAGAUAUGAUACAGAACACCGAUUGCGAAGGCAGGUCACUAAGUUAUAACUGACGCUCAUGCACGAAAGCGUGGGGAU
rnacentral:rRNA from 1 species